GAUGAACGCUGGCGGCGUGCCUAAUACAUGCAAGUCGAGCGAACAGACGAGGAGCUUGCUCCUCUGACGUUAGCGGCGGACGGGUGAGUAACACGUGGAUAACCUACCUAUAAGACUGGGAUAACUUCGGGAAACCGGAGCUAAUACCGGAUAAUAUAUUGAACCGCAUGGUUCAAUAGUGAAAGACGGUUUUGCUGUCACUUAUAGAUGGAUCCGCGCCGCAUUAGCUAGUUGGUAAGGUAACGGCUUACCAAGGCAACGAUGCGUAGCCGACCUGAGAGGGUAAUCGGGCACACGGGAACUGAGGCACGGUCCAGAGUCCUACGGGAGGCAGCAGUAGGGAAGCUUGCGCGAUGGGCGAAAGCGUGACGGAGCAACGCCGCGGGAGGGAGGAAGGUCGUCGGAUCGGAGAACUCUGUUAGUAGGGGAGAAGAAAUGUGUAAGUAAGGAUGCGCGUCUUGACGGUACCGGAUCAGAAAGCCAGGGCUAACUACGUG
rnacentral:rRNA from 1 species